rnacentral:antisense_RNA from 1 species
CCCGUGUUUCUGGAGGCCAGCUUUACUGUGCUAGAGGAAGAGGGUCCCCACAUCCGGACCUCGCCCUCCUGGCCCGGUUUGCUGAAGCAACGCACUUGGCCUACCCACUGGGUGGGGCAGGAAGUCUCCCAUAUCGAGGCAGGGGCCGGCGGAUCCUGGGCAGCAGCCGGGGUGGGGAUGCUGACACACUCGGGGACGACGGACCCCGACGGUGCCAAAGUCUGGGACAGGACAGUUGUGGGACGGUUG